rnacentral:rRNA from 1 species
GACGAACGCUGGCGGCGUGCUUAACACAUGCAAGUCGAACGGAAAGGCCCUGCUUUUGUGGGGUGCUCGAGUGGCGAACGGGUGAGUAACACGUGAGUAACCUGCCCUUGACUUUGGGAUAACUUCAGGAAACUGGGGCUAAUACCGGAUAGGAGCUCCUGCGGCAUGGUGGGGGUUGGAAAGUUUCGGCGGUUGGGGAUGGACUCGCGGCUUGUCAGCUUGUUGGUGGGGUAGUGGCUUACCAAGGCAUUGACGGGUAGCCGGCCUGAGAGGGUGACCGGCCACAUUGGGACUGAGAUCCGGCCAAGACUCCUCCGGGAGGAAGCAGUGGGGAAUAUUGCACAAUGGGCGGAAGCCUGAUGCAGCACCGCCGCGUGCGGGAUGCCGGCCUUCGGGUUGUAAACCGCUUUCGCCUGUGACGAAGCGUGAGUGACGGUAAUGGGUAAAGAAGCACCGGCUAACUACGUG